rnacentral:lncRNA from 1 species
AAAAAGUCAUCACCACACGCAAGGUCUAUCUAGAUUUUCUCCUAGGAGUUUCAUAGUUUUGCAUUUUACAUUUAGGUCUGUAAUCCAUUUUGGAUUAAUUAAUUUUUGGUGAAGGAUCUGUGAAUAGAUUCAUAGUUUUUCACGUGGAUGUCCACUAGUUCCAGCACCAUUUCUGGAAAGGAUUUCUUUUCUCUACUGUACUGCCUUUGUUCCUUUGUCAAAGAUGAAUUGACUGUAUUCAUGUGGGUAACAGACACUUUGUAAAACAAAGGCUUGUGUAGAGUCCUUUAGAUAUAGUCAAAUAUGUUAUUCUCUUCUUUCCAAAAAAUUGGGGGGGGCUGGUCUGGUGGCAAAACGGUAAGUUCACAAUCUUCUUCUUUUUUUUUGUUUUGAGGAAGACUAGCCCUGAGCUAACGUAGGGAGGAAGACAUUUCCUCUAUCCAAUGUGGGUUCGUCUGGCCAGAGAACGAAUUAAAUUCACAUGAGACAGAAUAGCAGGAGAAAAUUAAACAAAGCUUUAUGAGGAAACAUGGCCCGGGGCCUUUCUUCCUGAAGGAAGAAAGGGCACCGAAGAAGUGGGGAGCACAGAGUGGUUAUAUACCCCCAAAUAGGAUAUUUCACAUAUGAUUGAAAUGUCCCUCCCACAAUAGUCACAAGAUUGCCCUGUCGGCACAGCGCUUGAUGGACACAGCAGGUAGUGGGUCUGCUAUCUCGGAGGGCGUAGCAGGAGGCAAGUCUAUUGUCUUGAGCUGGGUGGUCACAGAUGUAUCCAACUGCACUGGUGACGUCUCCCCCUAGAUGUUUGACAAGUAUCCCAGAAUGAAAGAAUCUGUGUCUGGUCUCUCAGUCAGCAGCUGGGCCUGGAUUGGGCAGUGCCUGCAGGAAGGAGACACAACCAGCCUCCAGAGUUAGACAACAGCAAAGGUCUUUGGAUAACUGGUUCCCAGAUUUUGCUACGCAUUAAAACUUUCUUGGUAACUUCGAAGAGUCCCAAUGCCCAAAUUAUAGCAUGUGGCAGAGACACCCAAGGUGACCCCCAGUGAGUCACAUCCUCCUGGUGAUUGAGGGUGGAGCCUGUGACUUGCCUCCAACCAAAAGAAGUGGUAAAUGUGGUGGAUGUCACUGCCUCGAUAAGGGUGCAUUAUGCGGCAAAGGGGCCUCCCUCCUGCAAUGACAUUACCAUAAAUUUACAUAAGACUCAACCAGCUCUUGCUGUCUCCUGCUGGCCUUGAAGAGGGAAACAGCUGUGAGCUGUGGCAGGGAACUGUGGGUGGCCUCUGGGACUGAACGUGCAUCCAGCUGACAGCCAGAAAAGCAGAAGCCAUCAGUCCUACAACUGCAAGGAAAUGAAUUCUGCCAGCUGAGAGCACAGCCCGGCUACACCUUGGUUGCAGCUGUGUAAGAACCUGAGCAAGGGGCCCAGCCAAGGUGUGUCCCAACUCCUAAACCUUGGAAACUAUGAGAAAAUAAAUUUGUGCUGUUUUAAGCCACUAAGCUUGCUAAUUUGUCACGCAGCAACAGAAAAUGAACAUUUGCCCCGUUCUAGUUAUGUCAGAAUUCUCACGUGAGAUCACGGCAUCAGUGUCUUUUUAACUCUCCAGAUGAUUCCAAAAGGCAAUAAACAAUUUAAGAACCAGCGCCUGGACCACUGGGUGAGGUUAGUUUUCACAGACAUUAGGCCCCUUUAUCCCUCCUUUCUCUCCGAGCAAACCUGGUCUUAGACUAACCGAUACCGGAGCCGGUCUCCACAGGCACUCCCCGUAGCCAGGGUCCAC